AGUAGAUGCUCUAAGAAAGAAUCCAGAAUAGCUUCAUCUUCAACUAAGAAGUUUUAUAAAAGUGACUGCCUCCCUUUUCCUGGGCUGAGAAGGAAAGCGCUUAGCCAGAUCAUCUCCAUCCAUUUACUUGAAAUCAGAGGCUCUUCUUUCUUCCUUCCAUACCUACAGCUUUAUGAGCCAGGCACACUCCGAUCAAUUUGGAGCAAUUCAUGUCAGCAGUCUGGAAUUGGACGGUAACUCUCUUGGGCUACUUCCCUGACAUCUGGAAUCCAUGAAGAGUUCCAGACAUUGCUGGAAGCAGAGAUGGAGAAGGUGUUACCCACACUGGUUCUGGUACCUGGGACCCAUUUACCCUGAGGAGAAAUUAUCCAGGUAGCAUGCUGGCUUAGCGCCGAGACCACCAAGCAAAGAUUCUACCACUCGGCUUGAGGAGUGAGCUCUUACACUAACUGUCCUCCGCACCAUACUGAUGAGAUGGGGCACAUCCAGACACUGUCACCAAGUUAAAUAAAUGUGUGUCAACUCAAAACCGAGAUGAGAAAUGGCAGAGUGUUUUAUGGAUUCAGAGUCAAGAAGCUGUUGAGAAUGUUUUGCCUGAGUGCCACCAAGAUGAUGAGAUCAUCCUCCACUGAAGACAAGCAGAACUGCAGACUCCAUCUCAUUCUCCUUGUCUGCAAAUCCCUCCAUAACUCACUACCAUGUGCAGAGACUGACAGCAGGGCAGGACAAAGCAGAUGUCCUGGGACUCCAGGAGGAAAGGAGCCCAGCGCACAACCCCCUCAGGUUGCUCAAGAAGACCAGGAAGUCCAAUGCCCCAGGGGACUGAAGAGAUGA
rnacentral:lncRNA from 1 species